CUUCUCUCUCCGGCUGAGAGCUUUUUAUUGUAAUUAGCCCAUUUUUGCUUCAGCAUUGUAUAUUGCAUGUGCUGGAGAGGGGCAGACCAACUGAUUGUUACAUCUGUGGAGAAGAGACAUGUCUCAAAGAAGAGAAAUACACAGAUCGUUUGGAGAUCCAGGACAUUAAGCUGGAUGGAUCACUAGUAUGGUACUUAAGGUUGCCUCACUUGGAAAUGGAUUGAUUGUAUUCUUGGUGUGGUUAGAAAGGAUAAAAGGAAUAACUGAUGACCUGAAAUAUGUGCUUCUCUACAUCUUCAAGCUUCCCCUGGGGUAGGUUAAGGCCAUAAGACUAAUUCUAGCCAGAUGAUUUGAGGGGUCAUGGUGUGUUUCAUAUUUGGGAAAGGUAUUUAAGAACCAUUGUGCCUCCUUUGUCUCUUGCUCUGCUGAGGAGUUCUUGGAAGUCCAUGGAAAGCUGGUGUAACACGGAGGAAGACUACCUGAACUUCAGACAUGACUUGAGAGGACGCUCUUCCCCACUAUCUUGCAGGCCCUGAGUUGGGAACAAGCUUUAUUGGGGUUACAGGAAGAGCUAGAGGAACAGAACAGGAACACAGUGAGCAUGGGGAGAACAUCAGAAGCCAGAUCACAUAAGGUUUGCGAAACCAAGGUAAGGAGAUUUUACUUUAUUCUAAAUAUGAGAGGAAAUAAUUGAAGGGUUUUAAGUGGGAGGUGGUAUUUUAUAAUUUACAAUUCUAAAAGAUUACACUGAGAACUACACGGGGAACUGACCAGGGAGAAGGAAGGCAAAACAGAAAGGAGGAAAGCCAAUUGGAGACUGUCAGUCUUUGUGAGCUAUUCUUGUUUGGAUCAGGGUGGUGGUAGUGAGGAUGAAAAGAAGCGGACAAACUUUACAUAUGUUUUUCAGGAGACCAAAAGGACUUCCUAAUGGGUUAAACAGUGGGUGGGAGAAGGGAAUCAGUAAAAGAGAGUAAUUUGGGAGCUUAAAUCUGGAGAGGUGUUAAAGUAGACUAGCCUGGGAAAAGGGCAAGUCUUGGAGGGCUGGGGAAGCUGUAUCACAUUUGCAGUGACUGUUAGACCUCCAAGUGGGGAAGUUGAUUGGGGACAUAAAUAUAUGAAUAUAGUUUUAAGGAGCAAUUAGAGAUGUAACAUUUGUGUAGAAAUUAUUUUGCCUUGACAUUGUGGGGCUGAUAGUAAAUAAGCUUCAUCUAAUGAACACAUGUUAUACCCCAGAGUUGCAGGAUAUAAUUUGUUUUCAAACAUGUUUAGAACAUUUCUAAAAGUUGACUAUACAUUGGGCCAGAAAACAGUUUUGGUCAAAGACAGAUAGAUCUCUGAUUUCAAUGAAGUUAGG
ensembl:lncRNA